AUCGCUUCUCGGCCUUUUGGCUAAGAUCAAGUAUAGUAUCCGUGUUUAUGGAAGACAAUCUUACUUGGCUACAAGUGAUCACCAAAA